rnacentral:rRNA from 1 species
UGCCUUACACAUGCAAGUCGAACGGUAACGCGGGGCAACCUGGCGACGAGUGGCGAACGGGUGAGUAAUAUAUCGGAACGUGCCCAGUAGUGGGGGAUAGCCCGGCGAAAGCCGGAUUAAUACCGCAUGAGACCUGAGGGUGAAAGCGGGGGAUCGCAAGACCUCGCGCUAUUGGAGCGGCCGAUAUCAGAUUAGGUAGUUGGUGGGGUAAAGGCCUACCAAGCCGACGAUCUGUAGCUGGUCUGAGAGGACGACCAGCCACACUGGGACUGAGACACGGCCCAGACUCCUACGGGAGGCAGCAGUGGGGAAUUUUGGACAAUGGGCGCAAGCCUGAUCCAGCCAUGCCGCGUGCGGGAAGAAGGCCUUCGGGUUGUAAACCGC